UAAUGUGUGUCCGAUGGUUUAGCUCCUAAAAGCAGAUUAUCAGCUUCUCAGUGCAUGUACUGCAUGGCUUUGAAACAUCAAUGGCACAAAUUGUUUUUGUUCUUUGCUUCGUUUGCUUCAUAUUCUUUGCUUCUUUAUUGACAUGAAACAAAUAAACAUUUCCAUUGUUGGCAGCAUCAGUAAUGAAGGCAUCAGUAGCUACAGUGCUGAAGAUGUAUCCAAUCCAAAUUCAAGCAUGGUGUCUUCAGAGGUGACAGGACAGAACAGUAUCUUCCAAGAACAUGGAGGACAAACAGGCUCUGAUUUCUUAACGCAGGCUGCAGAAGCAAGAGAGAGAAGUUUGCCUAUCUCAAUGACUUUUGCAGACUGUGCCAAGGAACAUGUCACAGCGGAUCUUACAAGAAGCAAUGACAAGUUACCAACCUCAAAUUGCAAUGAAGCAGUGCCAUCAUCGGGUCCAUUGAAUGACAAAGAAGAGGGAAUAGCACAUACCACAUCUGUGGACAGAGGCCCAAAAUGUGACAACAUUGCUGUUGCUUCUAUGAAAAACAGUGAGAAUGAUCCCAGAAACCCAAGCCUAGAGCCCAGCCCUCCUGCAGCAAUUACAGAAACGCAAGGAGUAGCACAAAUGAGUUUGAGUGAAUUAGGAUCACUCUGGCAGAGUGAACAGCUGGGUGGCAUGAGGGAACCACAUGUCAGCAUGUUUCCCCAGGGUAAAGAAGCAGAUUAUUUUACUGCUCAGGAGGCCAAGCAGGAGCGAGGAGUUUUGGAAGUAGGUCAGCCGCAGACUGUAAUGCAGCAAGGUAGACGGAACACAGAUGGUGGAGAGGGUCUGCUAAUGAAAAAGGAAACCUUAAUCCUAAAUUAUCCAGCAACAGGAGGCUCAGACAGUGAAAAAUUUGGAGCAAUUGUGGAUGCUCAGGGCUUCACUGAGAUCAGUGAAGUUUGUAAUCUACAGAUGGGGGCUGUAACAACAGCUAAAGGGGAUGAGGCAAAUCUAGCUCUAUCUGGAAGCAAAGAGGAGCAAUCAGAAGCCUGUACUUUAAUGUCAGAUUUGCCUUCUAACCCUCCAAGUCUCUUCCUGGUACCAAAGCCUGAAGAGCCUUCGAGGGAAUGUGUGCCUGGAAAUGACUCUCAAGAUCCAAUGAGGAGUGAAGCAGUGAAAACAGCCUCUGAAAAAAAUGAACCCGUUUUUCAAAGAGAGCUUCAAAAGGAGGAUGAGCUUGUUAGUGCCGAGCAUGUCAGUGUGCCUUUAUCGUUUAAGCAAAAGGAAGAACAAAAAUCAGCUGUCACAACUGAAAGCCCAAAAGAUGAAGCCAGUAGCAAUGAAAUUAUAAAAGCUGAUGAUGUGUCUGGAGAAAGCACCACACUUUCUGAAACAGAAAGCAUUAUCAAUCCCACCAAGGAAAAUUCCCUUGUAGAUAAAAGAAUAUUACAGGAAGAAUAUGCAUUAAGUACUUCUCUGAGCAGAUCCACAGAGCUGAAUCAAAAAGAAACCGUGGCGGGUGUAACAGAAGAAAAAAACGAAGUCAGAACAGAGGAGGCACAAGUGACAGAAACCAGUGAAUUACCUGAGGGGUCAAGUGGGGCAGAAAGACAACUAUUGAACUCUGUUAGUAGCCACCACCAGGACAUGGGGAAUACCCACUCGGGACACAAUCCUGAAGAACUCAGUCUUUGUGAAAAGACUUCAGCGGGUGACCUAGGGGAAGAAGCUGGGGGAAAGCCUCUGUAUUUAGACAGUAACUUUAAAUCGCCUGAAGACAAUUCACAGUCUCUUGGUUGUAAACCUGAACAGCAAAUGAGUGAAGAGAAAACAGCUGCCACAGAUGACCUGGAGAAUAAGCUCGUGGCUUCACCACAGUUUCCAAGGGAGGAAUGCCCACUGAGUUUUGAUUGCUUUAACACUGAGGCAAAGGACAAAACUUUGGGCCAGCCAGGCUGUAACGGGACUGAAAAGGUUUGUUUAGCCAGUGCACACAGUUCACCGCUCCUCCAUUCUGAGAACAAUAAUAUUAAGCAGAGUAAGCAGGAUGAGUCCUGGGAAAAGGCUUUUGCUAGAGAAACUGUGUUGGAAUCUGAAUGCAAAACCGAGAGUCAAGAAAAGCCUGAGAGCUAUAGCAAGUCAGAAGAAAGUGCAAAAAUGUCCAAAUCGGAACUCAAGCUCCAGCGCUUAAAUGAGUUGGCAGGGACUAUGGAUCGCAUGGCUGUACAAACCAAGGAGGCCUCGCAGGUUUCGGAAACCAAAGAACAGAACGGUCACAUCACUGACGUUCCUCACAGCGAUCCAGAACACGGACCUGCAGCUGCAGCUGCAGCUGCACAAAACAGUGCUGUGAAUGGUAAAGAAAAUGAGAGUAUUCAACAGGAGAAACGCCAAACUGCGGUGAAGGAGGACAAAGAUUUGGCGCUAAAAAAUGACUGCAAAUCGGAUGUGCUGAUGCAAGCUCAGCUGGAGCAAGUGGCUGCAGAAAGUCACAGAAAUAUGCAGUUGGCUUGUUCAGAAGGCUCCCAAGCUGUAGUUGAUACUUCAGGACUCACUGCUCAGCAAGUUCAUGUGGAGGAAGGGGGUGACAGCCCCGUCAGUGAAAACAACUGUCCCUCUGAGAGUGACACGUGCAGCUCUUCAGAGACCCUGGAGGGCAGUGUCAGAGAAUUGCAGGAAAAUGCAGAUGUUCCAACUGCUCUUCCGCAAGCAGAGCAAAUGGAGAAGUCAGUGUCUGUUGCUGGUGACAGUGACUGGAUUUCAAAUACAGGACUUGAACAACAGAAGCAGCAAAGCAGUCUGACAACUGUCACAAGAGCAGAUGAUCAGGAACACAAAGAAGGGGCUCUAAAACCUGAACAGCCAUUGGACCUAAAUAAUCACAGCAACAUACCAGAAAUACCUCUAAACAUUUCAAACAACCUUAAUAAAGACCGUUCUGUGCUAGGUACAGCACCGAUCCAAUGCGACUCUGACACAGCAAAAGAAAAGGACAAGGAUAAAAGCAGUGCUGUGGUGUCAGAGGAUAUGUGCAGCAGCAAACAUGGGCAAAAUACUUCUGGUGUGACCAUGCUUAAUUUGCAAGAUUGCAACAAGCAAAACAAAACUGAUCUCAAGGCAGAAGAAAACUGCCGCAGUAAGCAAAACUCAAACAAGCCCGAGCUGGAUAAUAAUUCUUUGAUCUCAGCUAGUCAGCAUGAAGUAGCAUGUCAUAGCGAUACAUUUUCUAAAGAAUCUGACAAGAAUGAACAGGCAGGCAGCGUAUGCAGGAUAAAGAAUAAUACUGGUGAAAGCCAUGCUGCUGCUAUAAACGCUCUUCCAGGGACACAGAAUUCAGCAAGUGCCACUAACAUAUCACAGGCUUUGCCAAGUGAUACAGAAAUAGCACAUACUUCUGAUAAUUCUGAGAAAAAUGAUCCUCAAAUAUCUCAUCCAGAAACUCAAGGGAAAAUGCCAUUAAUGGCAAAAAAUUUGGAAAAGAUUGAAGGUCUGACUGCUGAUUUGGAAAUCAUCCGGAAAGAUGGAAACAUGGAGAUAAGUUGUGAGAACAGUGCUUCUGUCGCAGAAACAAGCAACAUGAAAAGUGAUAAAAGUCCAGAGGCACAAGGAUCUCCUUCACCAUUACAGGCACACGGGGAAGUAAUUCCCACUGAUAAGUCACAUAAAUCCAGCUGCAUUCAAAAGACACCAGAGGAGCCUGGUUAUUGUCAAGCAAAUUUUACAGCCCUCUCGACAGGGACCUCUGCACUCAGCCAUCCUAGCCAGCAACCUGGAAACAAUAUGAACAAUGGUACUGGGGGGGAAUUACUAAAUAAUGAGCUGGAAUUUGUAGCAUGCCAAAAUGCCUUAGAAGUUAAUUCUGAUUUGCAGAUUGCUGCAGGUUCUCAGGUGCCUGUGCACUUAGGUCCUUCACCCAGGGUAAGCACAGGUAAAACAGCAAAUUCAGAAAACAGCUCUGCGGGGAGUAUGCGUGUGAAUGAAAAAGAUGUUCCAGACCAAAGUUUUCAGGGUGAUGGAGACAGAAGUUUAGCCCCACCAGAGACUUUAAAUGUGGGGCAGAGUACUGGAAACUUAUCACAAUUCAAUUCUGAGAAGCCAAAGAAAGAGGUAUCUGCAAUUAAAUCCAAAGAAACAAAAAGUGAGGUAAACUUCAAAGAACAGCAAAGUGACAGUUCAGCAGAGUCUGUUUUAGCUCUCCCUACUCUAGAAGGGAAGCUGCUGAGCCUUUCAUCUGUUGGUAAACAAGAAGGCUGUAAUGAGGAAAUUGCAACCAAUAUCUGCGUAGAUGACAAGUACGGUAAGAUCUUAGAGAAACCUGGGAAUUCAGAAAAAAUGGAAGAGCUUGCAAAAGAGAAUAAUAACAUAACCAGGGCAGAGAUCAGUAUUUCCGAGCAGUCUGCAGAGAACUCUGGAAGGGAGCAUGAGGCUCUGACUUGCAGCUCUCUGGACAUUGGCUCCAGCCUCCCAGACUUCAGGGAGCAUAUCAGCCAGAUAUUUAAAAAAACUGUCCACAGCACACUGCAUGCUGAAUUACCCCAACUUUUGUCUGAAAACCAUGCAGGCUUCAAGCAAAGUCCAGGGGCCAAGGAUACAGCAGAACUGUGCGGUGCUGAGAACUUUUCAGAAUCAAGUAAGACGAGCAAAGGAGC
rnacentral:lncRNA from 1 species